rnacentral:rRNA from 1 species
GACGAACGCUGGCGGCGUGCUUAACACAUGCAAGUCGAACGGAAAGGCCCUGCUUUUGUGGGGUGCUCGAGUGGCGAACGGGUGAGUAACACGUGAGUAACCUGCCCUUGACUUGGGAUAACUUCAGGAAACUGGGGCUAAUACCGGAUAGGAGCUCCUGCUGCCUGGUGGGGGUUGGAAAGUUUCGGCGGUUGGGGAUGGACUCGCGGCUUAUCAGCUUGUUGGUGGGGUAGUGGCUUACCAAGGCUUUGACGGGUAGCCGGCCUGAGAGGGUGACCGGCCACAUUGGGACUGAGAUACGGCCCAGACUCCUACGGGAGGCAGCAGUGGGGAAUAUUGCACAAUGGGCGGAAGCCUGAUGCAGCAACGCCGCGUGCGGGAUGACGGCCUUCGGGUUGUAAACCGCUUUCGCCUGUGACGAAGCGUGAGUGACGGUAAUGGGUAAAGAAGCACCGGCUAACUACGUG